GUGGGGAAUCUUGCACAAUGGAGGAAACUCUGAUGCAGCGACGCCGCGUGCGCGAUGAAGCCCUUCGGGGUGUAAAGCGCUUUCGACCGGAACGAUAAUGACGGUACCGGGAGAAGAAGCUGCGGCUAACUACGUGCCAGCAGCCGCGGUAAUACGUAGGCAGCAAGCGUUGUUCGGAGUUACUGGGCGUAAAGAGUCUGUAGGCGGUGUCCUAAGUUUGGUGUGAAAUCUCCCGGCUUAACCGGGAGGGUGCGCCGAAGACUGGGAUGCUGGAGUAUGGGAGAGGAACGCGGAAUUCCUGGUGUAGCGGUGAAAUGCGUAGAUAUCAGGAGGAACACCGGUGGUGUAGACGGCGUUCUGGACCAUGACUGACGCUGAGAGACGAAAGCGUGGGGAGCAAACAGG
rnacentral:rRNA from 1 species